rnacentral:sRNA from 1 species
ACACGGGAAAAUACCCACGGAAACCCAUUGUAUGUAAAAUUAAUAAAUGCUAAUAAAAAGCUUGGAAGAAGCAGUCCAAUCUAGUCACAGACUGUAGGGUCACACGAUUUAAUCCCAGCAUACAGAAAGAAGGUUGUGGUUGGAGGUUCUAAGUUUAAGGCUAGUCUGGGAGACCUUGGAUGGUGUCUCAAAUAAAUAGGUAAACUCUGUAAAUCCAAGUUGAAGAGCAUGGCCAUCUAAUCCAAACAGCCUCAUCUUCAUGUGCCAUGCCUAGAGAUUGAUGGACACUCGUGAGUGCCCAUCAGAUGCAGGCCCGUGGACACUCCAUCACAGGAGAAAACUAUAAUAAGAGGCAUUGAACUUUCACCUAAUACCGUGACCACACCUCCUAGUAUUUUUAUGCAAAUUUGUAAUAAAGGCCUUGGUUGGUGCUGUCCUAGGAGAUGCACUAGAGUACACAGGGAGUGGGUAGAGGAAGGGGGCUCCAUCUUUGGCCAUAGAAGGAGCCAUCAUGCCUGCUGGGUUGAGACUUUCCAAUGGGGUGCUUUAGGAUCACCCAAGCUCUUGCCAGCAGUCCCUCACCCAUACUUUAUAAAUGAACCCAAUAAACUCAGUUGCUCUGUAGUCGGGACUUUAUGGAGGGAGAUGGUUAGAUAUUGUUUACGUUUCCCGGGGAAGGAAUUCUCCUGACGGUGCGUGAACAGCUAACAUAAUACUGAAAAGGAAUUCUAACAGGAAGGGAGGAGCCUGCCUAACUGGUUAUUCAUACCACUUAAAUAUUAACUGGUCCCAGGCAACUUCGUCAGUCAGUCGAUACAAAACAAACUGCAAAUCAACUUGGUCAACUGAAAUCCAAACCAGAAAUGUUUUCAUAACAUACAGCUGACUUUCAGUUAUUCACAGCAGCUAAGCUUCAGCCAAUCACAGGCUGCCUGUUGAUGUGUUCAUAUAAGGACAUGGUCAUGUUCAUAUAAAGAACCCAGGAUGCUGCUUGCUUAACUCAGUCACCUGAACCUGUUCUGGUUUGAGGACUGUGGGACUUGUGGACCAUCCCCAAGUAGCUGUGAUUACUUUGUAGAACAAGCAGCAGUUCAAAGAGACCAUCUUGACUGCCCACGGUAAGACCUUGUAGACCUCCUAUCCAGUAGACCUGGCAAAUGAGAGAAAGAGGAAGACAAAAGGUGGCCAGGGACUUGUUUUGAGAACCCGUGCUGUUGAUCGGACAUGAUGUACCACUCAUGUGAAAGCAGCACUCACUUGGGAGGCUGAGGCAAGAAGGUUCUGAGUUCAAGGCUAACCUGAACUACACUUCAAGUCCCUGCCUCACAAAGACCAAACAAAAGCCUGGUGUGGUGUCAUGUGCCUUCAAUAUCAGCACUUGGAAGGCAGAGGCCAUUAGAUUUUUAUGACUUUGAAAGCCAGUCUUGUCUAGAUAGUGAGAGUCUUGUCUCAAAAAUAAACAAAACCAAAAACUAAACAGAGCUUAACUCUGUUGGAAUUGUCCAAAGCGGUGGAUUCAGAGGCAUAAUUCAGGUUCUAGGAUGGACAGAUUCAUUUCUGUCCAGAUAAAUUCGCCACCUUGGGCUAUGAGCCCAGUCCUGUGGAUUGGCAGAUGGAGACGGGAAA